UUUUUUUUGAGAGAAAGGUAUCAUGCUACCGCUUCAUUCGGCAAGAAGGUGAAUUUAGCAACAAAGUAAAGCAACUGAGCUUUGAUGAAACGAAAAAAAAGGGCUAAAUGCAAUAAAGCUCCCACAUAUAAGUCCACCAACAACCGUCUCAGCAUCAGCUUUCUUGCAUUUAGCCUCAACAACCGUCUCAACAUCAGCUUCUUACCGACCAUUCCUAGAGCAAGUGGCAAAGGGUUUGGUGGUUGGUAUCCGAGACCCAAGUUCGAAUCCUAGUUGAUUCACAUUUUUAGUUAAGUUUAUUUCUAAAUAAAAUAAACGAAACGGGUAGCGUGCUACGUACCUAUCUCUAAGAAAAAAAAAAAAAACAACAACAACAGCUUUCUUUUCUCAAAAAUUCGACUAUUCUACUCUAACUA
rnacentral:lncRNA from 1 species